GCUGGCGGCAUGGAUUAGGCAUGCAAGUCGAACGAGAAGCUCUAGCUUGCUAGAGUGGAUAGUGGCGAAAGGGUGAGUAACGCGUGAGUAAUCUGCCCCUAAGUUGGGAAUAGCCUCGGGAAACUGGGAUUAAUACCGAAUGUGGUCUUUUGUCGCAUGACAGAAUGACUAAAGAUUUAUUGCUUAGGGAUGAGCUCGCGUUCCAUUAGCUAGUUGGUAAGGUAACGGCUUACCAAGGCAACGAUGGAUAGCUGGUCUGAGAGGAUGAUCAGCCACACUGGGACUGAGACACUGCCCAGACUCCUACGGGAGGCUGCAGUCGAGAAUCUUCCGCAAUGGGCGAAAGCCUGACGGAGCAAUGCCGCGUGCAGGAUGAAGGCCCUUGGGUCGUAAACUGCUGUCACCGGGGAAGAACAUAAUGACGGUACCCGGAGAGGAAGCACCGGCUAACUACGUGCCAGCAGCCGCGGUAAUACGUAGGGUGCAAGCGUUGUUCGGAUUUAUUGGGCGUAAAGGGUUCGCAGGGGGUUUUUUAAGUCUGAUGUGAAAUCCCACGGCUCAACCGUGGAACUGCAUUGGAAACUGAAAGACUAGAGUAUUGGAGAGGUAAGUGGAAUUCCUGGUGGAGCGGUGGAAUGCGUAGAUAUCAGGAGGAACACCAAGAGCGAAGGCAACUUACUGGACAAUUACUGACCCUCAGGAACGAAAGCAUGGGUAGCAAACAGGAUUGGAUACCCUGGUAGUCCAUGCCGUAAACGUUGUAUACUAGGUGUGGGAGGAUUUAUCCCCUUCCGUGCCCAAGCUAACGCGAUAAGUAUACCGCCUGGGGACUACGGCCGCAAGGCUAAAACUCAAAGGAAUAGACGGGGACCCGCACAAGUGGUGGAGCAUGUGGUUUAAUUCGAAAAUACGCGAAGAACCUUACCUAGCCUUGACAUUGAUUGAACGGACCAGAGAUGGACCGGUGCCUUUCGGGGAACAUGAAAACAGGUGCUGCACGGCUGUCGUCAGCUCGUGUCGUGAGAUGUUGGGUUAAGUCCCGCAACGAGCGCAACCCUCGUCCUUAGUUGCCAGCAGGUUAAGCUGGGCACUUUAAGGAGACUGCCUUCGCAAGGAGGAGGAAGGUGAGGACGACGUCAAGUCAUCAUGGCCCUUAUGGCUAGGGCUACACACGUGCUACAAUGGGGCGUACAGAGAGUUGCGAUACCGCGAGGUGGAGCCAAUCUCACAAAGCGUCUCUCAGUUCGGAUUGAAGUCUGCAACUCGACUUCAUGAAGCUGGAAUCACUAGUAAUCGUAGAUCAGCAAUGCUACGGUGAAUACGUUCCCGGGUCUUGUACUCACGCCCGUCACACCAUGGGAGUUGAUUUCACCCGAAAUUGGGAAGCUAACCUUCGGGAGGCUACCACUUACGGUGGAAUUAGCGACUGG
rnacentral:rRNA from 1 species